rnacentral:misc_RNA from 1 species
GAUGAAGAACGUAGCGAAAUGCGAUAAGUAAUGUGAAUUGCAGAAUUCAGUGAAUCAUCGAAUCUUUGAACGCACAUUGCGCCCCCUGGUAUUCCGGGGGGCAUGCCAGUUCGAGCGUCAUUUCACCACUCAAGCCUCGCUUGGUAUUGGGCAACGCGGUCCGCCGCGUGCCUCAAAUCGACCGGCUGGGUCUUCUGUCCCCUAAGCGUUGUGGAAACUAUUCGCUAAAGGGUGUUCGGGAGGCUACGCCGUAAAACAACCCCAUUUCUAAGGUUGACCUCGGAUCAGGUAGGGAUACCCGCUGAACUUAAGCAUAUCAAUACGCGGAGGA